rnacentral:tRNA from 1 species
UCCUAGCUGGCUAAGUUAGUAGAGCAUGUGACUCUUAAUCUUGGGGUUGUGAGUUCGAGACCCAUGUUGGGAG